AUCACACAACAACCACAUGCCUCCCCUACAGAAGCCCCCAGAGCACAGCACCUCACCAUGGACUGGACCUGGAGGAUCCUUCUCUUGGUGGCAGCAGCUACAGGGAAGAGAAUCCUAAGCGCCCACUCCAAGGUGCAGCUGGUGCAGUCUGGCGCUGAGGUAAAGAAGCCUGGGGCCUCAGUGAAGGUCUGCAAGGCUUCCGGAUACACCCUCACCGACUACUCCAAGCACUGGAUGCGACAGACCCCUGGAAAAGGGCUUCAGUGGAUGGGAGGUUUUGAUCCUGUAGAUGGUGAAACAGUCAACUCACAGAAGUUCCAGCUCAGAGUCACCAUGACCGAGGACACGUCUACAGACACAGCCUACAUGGAGCUCAGCAGCCUGAGAUCUGAGGACACAGCUGUGUAUUACUGUGCAGCAGGCACAGUGUGAAAACCCACAUCCCGAGAGUGUUGGAAACCCCAGGCAGGAGGCAGCUGUGCUGGGGCUGAGGAGAUGACAGGCUUUAUGAGGUUUAAACAUGUUUAGAAAAUGGAUUAAGUAAUUGAGGAAAAGAAGCAAUAGAAAGAUGCAUACGCUAUAAUUACACAGGAAAUAGUCUUUUCACCUGUCACCCUAUAAGUAACACUCACACAGUGGGAAAGGCAGCAAUCAAUCAAGCUGAUGCAAACAUUCCAGUGGAGUCUUUGUGGUGACACACAUUUUAAAAUCGGAUGUGUAAAUCAUUAAGAACAGGAUUGCUUGAUCUCAUGGUAAGACU